UAUCCGCAAUUGCCGACAGGUGCUCUAA
rnacentral:sRNA from 1 species